UACGUAGGGUGCAAGCGUUGUCCGGAAUUAUUGGGCGUAAAGAGCUCGUAGGCGGUUUGUCGCGUCUGCUGUGAAAACCCAGGGCUUAACCCUGGGCUUGCAGUGGGUACGGGCAGACUAGAGUGCGGUAGGGGAGAUCGGAAUUCCUGGUGUAGCGGUGAAAUGCGCAGAUAUCAGGAGGAACACCGGUGGCGAAGGCGGAUCUCUGGGCCGUAACUGACGCUGAGGAGCGGAAGCGUGGGGAGCGAACAGG
rnacentral:rRNA from 1 species